rnacentral:lncRNA from 1 species
GUUAUUUAUCGAGAAAAGAAGGAAUUUUUUUGUAGGGUUGCUUUUGGUUUUCGAUAGAAUUGUUUAUGCUAAAAUGUACUACUUAUUUGAAAAAAAAAAGAAAUUUAGGGAAAUUUUGCUCUUGAUUUUUUGUACGUGAAUUUUGAGUGCAGCUGUUGAAAUUGAACUGUUUGAUGAUUUGAUGAUUGAGGUCAUUUAGUUUAUAAUAAGCUGAAGGAGAGGUCAGGGGGUAUAUUGCACGAGGUUUCGCUAGAAGUGAGGAGAGUAAGCAGAAAAUUGGCGGAGCCGAAGACGUUUUGAACGGCGAUAUAACGAACGCCGCAACUCUGGAACCGGCUAUUCAAUGCACGGAUGCUAUUGUCAUUCUUACCAGUGCUGUUCCUAAAAUGAAACCUGGUUUUGAUCCAACUAAAGGAGGAAGACCUGAAUUCCAUUUUGAAGAGGGAGCAUACCGUGAGCAAGUAACUGUUUAUCGCUGCUCAAGAAACUUCGUUUCCUCCGGCUAAGUAACAACUCUUUGGCGGGAACUAUACCAUAUUCCUUAACUACCAUAAGUGCGCUACAAGUUCUUGAUCUUUCAAACAACUUGUUGACAGGAGUUGUUCCUAUCAAUGGCUCCUUUUCGCUGUUCGAAGACAUAAGGUUUGCUGUAGCUGAUAAUAAGAAUAAUUUGGAUCAUUAUGUAAUUUGCCUUCAUCUUUUUUAAGUUUAUGUAAUGUGUUUUUAAUAUUAAUGAAAAUAUUUAGU